rnacentral:rRNA from 1 species
GACGAACGCUGGCGGCGUGCCUAAUACAUGCAAGUAGAACGCACAGUUUAUACCGUAGCUUGCUACACCAUAGACUGUGAGUUGCGAACGGGUGAGUAACGCGUAGGUAACCUGCCUGGUAGCGGGGGAUAACUAUUGGAAACGAUAGCUAAUACCGCAUAAUAUUAAUUAUUGCAUGAUAAUUAAUUGAAAGGUGCAAUUGCACCACUACCAGAUGGACCUGCGUUGUAUUAGCUAGUAGGUGAGGUAACGGCUCACCUAGGCGACGAUACAUAGCCGACCUGAGAGGGUGGUCGGCCACCCUGGGACUGAGACACGGCCCAGACUCCUACGGGAGGCAGCAGUAGGGAAUCUUCGGCAAUGGACGAAAGUCUGACCGAGCAACGCCGCGUGAGUGAAGAAGGUUUUCGGAUCGUAAAGCUCUGUUGUAAGAGAAGAACGGGUGUGAGAGUGGAAAGUUCACACUGUGACGGUAUCUUACCAGAAAGGGACGGCUAACUACGUG